rnacentral:rRNA from 1 species
UAAGGAAUAUUGGUCAAUGGGCGAGAGCCUGAACCAGCCAUGCCGCGUGCAGGAAGACGGCCUUAUGGGUUGUAAACUGCUUUUAUCGGGGAAUAAACCUAUCUACGUGUAGAUAGCUGAAGGUACCCGAAGAAUAAGCAUCGGCUAACUCCGUGCCAGCAGCCGCGGUAAUACGGAGGAUGCAAGCGUUAUCCGGAUUCAUUGGGUUUAAAGGGUGCGCAGGCGGAUUGGUAAGUCAGUGGUGAAAUUCAACGGCUCAACUGUUGAUCUGCCAUUGAUACUGUCAGUCUAGAGUAUAGUUGGAGUGGGCGGAAUGUGUCAUGUAGCGGUGAAAUGCUUAGAUAUGACACAGAACACCGAUCGCGAAGGCAGCUCACUAAGCUAAAACUGACACUGAAGCACGAAAGCGUGGGGAUCAAACA